CCUGCGAUGGUAAAAAUAAUGAACAAUGAAAAACAGGUACUGGCAAUUCUUUAGAAUGAACUCCCAUGUAUGAGAGAGAGAGAGAGAGAGAGAGAGAGAGAGAGAGAGAGAAAUCUAUCCCAUUAGCAUCUAUGCAACCUGCUUACCAGGAGACAGGACAGCUACAAGCAGGGCUACAGUCCACAGCAUGCCUUGUUCUCCUGGUCUCAGAAGGGAAGGGAUCUGGUGAUAAGGGGAGCAGAAUGCCCUGUCAAAACUCUAAUCCUACGCAAAAAGGGAGGGGCCCCAGGCGAGGGAGUGCAGCUGGUCUUCCUGACAGAUGUCAGAGCAGGGAGAGUACCAGGCAGGGCAGGGCCUACCUUAGGUGGUAGCCACGCCUCUGCCCAGAAGGGUGAGUGCAGAGGGAGGUAGCCCCGCCUCUGCUUCCACCCCCUUCUCUUCACCCUCCUGUGGAGGCAGGCUGAGAGCAGGCCCUCCCCAGAGGCAGGUGUGUGAGGACCACAGAGACCCCAAUCUGAGGCAGGUUGAGGGCAAACAGGGCGGAUAGCAGGCCCCUUGGUGAAGACUGCCAGCUCCCCUGGGCCAGCAUCCCAGGUCAGGCUCACUUCUCUGCAGGUCUCAGUCCCAGAGUGGGGAUGAUGCUGCCAGGGCCUUGUCCCGCGAUGCAGCGUCCUUCCUGCUGCCCUGACCCACCUUCCCCAGCUCUGUAGUGAACUCUGGAGACCUCCAGCAGCCCAUCUGAGAAGCUUUGCAUCUACCUUCUCCAAAGAAUUAUCAUCAAGCCUGUUGGCUACAAUGCUGGUGGCAUUUAAGUGACACCUGUGCAGAUUUCCAGCACCACAUUUAUGGAUGUAUUUGGUUGUGUGUUAGAGAGACUCAGUAAAACUACAACAACAUUGCAGUUCCACUCCUGUCACUGUUUCAGCAUCUCUCAGGUAAUAGACUGCUGCUAGCAUGAGCGAGCUCAUCAGUGAGUAAGUAGGGGCCUGUGUGGGUCUCCCUUUGCCCUGCGGAAUCCCCAGGGGAAGGAUCGGAAGCUGCUGUGUAAAUGGCUCUGAGAGCCGAAUGCCCUGGGCCCCAAGCAGAGGGUAAACUCCAGUGCCUUGGAGACUGGGAGUUCCUUACCGGAACUUCAUGCUCAUGUUUUAAAUAUGAGAAAGCACAAAAUUCCCAUUUCACUGCAGUGGAAAUAAAAUUCUUAAAACAGAAGAGUUAUAAACUAAGCCUGCCAGAAUGUAGAGGAACUAUAAAGCUAGUGCAACAAAAGGAGUGCAGCACUUGGCGCUAGAAUAUAAAGAUUCACGGGACAGAAAUCCACCGAUAUGCAAUAUCUUAAUGUAGGAUGAAGUUGUACAUUCAGACCAGCAAGGAAUAAUUCAUUAUGCCACACAUUCUGCUUUGGGAAUUGGUUCACCAUAUAGAACCAAGUACUGUGAAACGGCUACCUUAUAACUUACAAACAGAAGUUUAAAUGUAAUGAAUCUGAAAUCAGAAAACCCUUAGAAUAAAUGUAGACAAAUGGCAUAUAAUUUGUGGGUGAAAUAGACCUUAUCCGUGUCUGGCAACACAACAAGAAACCUUAGUGAAAAUUUUGUAGUUGUUUUUUAAAAGAACUUUAAGAACUAAGAUUCAAAUUUCUUUUCAUCAAUGUGUGCUAAAAUAACUAAGAAGUAAGUAGGGGAAGCCUUUUCAGUAUAUUCGCUAGAAGCUAACGUCUCCACCGUGGUCUUCAAGGCUCUUCCAAACCAAAAGGAACACUAAAUGCUCCAUAAGAGCAAAGAACAAGGAGCAUAACAAGGCAACUGACACAGGAGAAAUGAGCUUGUGAAAUAAGGCUGACUCUCAUUAGAGACAGCAAGAUGCAAACAAUUAACAGAACUCCAUUUUUUUUUUUUAAAACUGCAUGGCAGGGAUUGAAAUAUCUGCCACUUCAAGCAGCAUAACCAUAGAGAAGUCAGCUUGCCCCCUUUGCCCUAGUUUCUUAUCUGUAUUUCAGUGAUACUUUGAACCCUCAGUAGGGUUUCUGGGAAGAUCAAAUGAGAUCAUAUAUGUAACGUGCUUAGCACAGUAGCUACCUGAGAAUGAGUGCCAAAAAUGUGAUACUUAACAUAAAAGCAAAUAAAUUUCCAAUGAGGACAUCUUUAAAAAGUUUCUGAAAUUUGAGUAUUAUGGCAAAAUUAUACAUGUGUUUAAAAAUCCAUGAUAACAAAAUAAAUUUAUCUCUUAAUUCCAUUUUUCCAUGGAUGUUCUGAAGUCCUCUCGUAUGUGUAGAAAAGAGUUAGGCACUACCAGUCAUCUGCCUCACACCCAUGUAGGUCUCAAGUUGUGCCUAAGUUGAUUCCCGUUCAAUGUAUCCAAACUGGAGUUGAAAGGAAAGCGACUCAGCUUGCUUGGAUGACAUCUGUAAGGAUGGGUCUUAAGAGGGACCACUGGCAUGGUUCUUGACACCUGAAAAUGAGGAUGUCACAUGGGCAAAAGCUGAGAUAAGAGAUGAAGAAAUGGACAAGCCGGUUCUGAUGCUUUCAAGUUCUGGAUGCCAUCAACUCCCAGGCCUGUAAGACACCCUGCCUUACUUGGCCAUUUGAAACCAAACAUUCCUAGCUACUGCAGAUACAAAGCUUAAAAACAUAAACAUGACAGCACUCUUUACAUCAACUGAAAAUUCAAGCACAACUAUUUGAAGCUUUACCAAGUCAACCCUCAAGUUCUCUUUGAUAAUAAGAUUUUGAAUUAAUAAAAUGUGAUACAUUCACAGUACAGAAUGCCAAUGAGUAAUUCAAGGCAUGCAUACUAGCAGGAGUAACUAUUCAGAAGUGUACUGUGAAGUACAGAAAACAUGUGAUGGAUUGAAAUAUACAUCCUAUUUUAUGUCUUGAGGCAUGAUGGAAGUUUUUCAUUAUUUGUGAAUACAUGCCUUUGCAGCAUGAGUGAGACCUGGUUGGUGGUUACCCUUGGGAGGGGAAAGGGAAGGAUGGGCUUGGGAAAAUAAACCCAGAGUCUUCAGCUGAAUUAGUUCAUAUGAAUUAUGAAUUAGUUCAUGAAACCAUUAUGAAAAUAUGAAGCAAAUGUGUUAAAAUGUGAAGAUUUAACUAAACUAAGUAAUAGGCACCUCAAGAUUUGUUUUCUUAUUCACUCUAACCUUCAGUAUGAUUGAAAUAUUUCAUUAUUUUAGAAGCUUAGAAGUGAGAAUAUGUGCCAACCACCAGCCUUCCCAUAAUUCUCUCCUAAAGAUGUUCCAUAAGACCUUAGGUGACCUUGCCUGUCUCAGAAACUAGUUAAAUGCUAUUCUUCCAACCCCUAGGAGAGUAGAAGGAACUCAGCUGAGUGCUAGACCACUGGGCAAAGGCCUGGAGAUGGGAGUUCAGUCUUUAGGAAAGGGCCGGGGUGGAGGUGCAGGGCUGGGGGCCUGGAGGCAGUGUGAAGGCAUUGAGAAGGUGGUGGGAUGUGAGCUCUGGGGUUUGGUGUUGGGCUCCGAGUUUAUCUUUGCUCAGCGCAGAGUCAGAAACAGGAAAUGAGAUGCGGCUGGCCUAUCUCGAGUACCAGGAAUAACCACAGGCACAAUUUUCAGUGUAGUAUAGGGCAGGUCGGAAUCACUGUGCCAGUCCAGACAGCACAGUAAUACACCCCAGAGUCGUCUCUUCCCAGGUUUCGUAGAACGACAUUAUAGCUGCCCUGUGUGCUUUUAGAAGCUUGGUAUUUCCCUGCAUCAAAUCCCGAAUCCACUGUAGAACUGGAACUGCUGACGACGUAGUAGAGAAUGCGCUGUGGGGCCUUCCCCUCCUGGAACCGGUACCAGUGGAUGUAGUUACUUUGUUGAGUAAUACUACAAGUGACUGUAGCAGAUGACCCAGUCGGCUUGGUGACCACUGUCAUGGUCUUCUCUGAGUUGGAAGAUGUUUGACUGCCUGCAAUGGCAACCACAAAAACAAUGAGAAAAUGAUAAUUCUUUAGUAUGACCUCCAUGGAGAGAGAGAGAGAGAGAGAGAGAGAGAACUCGCAUUAACAUCUAUGCAACCUACUUACCAGGAG